rnacentral:lncRNA from 1 species
GUUUUGGGAAGGAGCUCCCAGCUGAGGCACCUAAACCAGGCUGCUCUGACCCCCAUGUCUCCCCCAGCUGCUCCUGCAAGUCAGUUAUGGGCCAGGAGGAUUUUUUUCAAGGUAGCUGUAGCCUAAGAAAAAAAAAAAAAUCCUUUUUCCUCUCAAUUCCUCAGCUUUCAGCCACUGGUGGCGCCAUAAAUUCCCCUGGCUCUCUGGUUACUGUAAAGUCUUUCAGGGUGGUCAGGACCUGAAUUCCUCAUGUGGAAGGAAGAACAAGCAGGCAAAAAGGAAGCACUGCAAGCAGGGACCUUCCCCGCCUCCUCGGUCCCUCUUGCUUUGUGCUCCCUCAGCUUGAGCCACCUGGAUAACCACCUGCACGGCCACCCCCCAGUGAACACCCUCCCACCAAGCCACACUCCCCGCGGGGGCUCCAGUACUGAUCCUCCGUGAGACAGCCCCAGCUCCCACCAGAUUCCAUCCUGGAGCCUAAACCCAGCUGCUGCGUGGGACACGAGUGGGCUGCUGUGUGGCACGUGUCAUCCAGCUUCACCUGAGGGCCGUGCUGAGAUGCUCUGAGAAGAGCAGCAGGAAAAUGACCACGAAGGGUCACUGCAGGAGAAGGUGCUUGCUGACAGGGUUGCUCCACCACUGAGCAGGACAAGGAAGGGUCUUCCUGCAGAGAAAGCCAUGGAAAAUCCCCUUGCUGGGCAGGGAAACCCUCUGCGGAAGUGGAAACGGAGCAUUUGCGCUUGGAAAAUCACAAAGGAGCGAGGGAAGCUUGCACGGGCAAGACAUUUCCCAGAAGUGUGCUGCCGGCAGGUACAGCUCACCAGAGACAGGGGGUGAGAGCAGCAGCGAUCCCCCCGCUGCAGGCAGAGCACCGCCCGCCCUGCUGCCUGUCCCCGUCCCAGGAGCAGAGCUGGAAACCCACACGAGAAAAAACACCGGGGACUUUUGGUGGGGCAGCGCAGGGUCCCCGGGCUGCAAGUGACGUUCCCAACAGAUCCCGUGGGGCUGGGACUGAGGACACGGCUCCUGUGCACGUCCCCUGCCCUCCGCAGCAGAGCAAGUCCCAGCACCCCGUUAACCCUUUGUCCCACCCAGUGCCACGGGACAGCCCCGAGUGGUGCCAUAUGGGCAGGGGGAUGCGGGCUGGCACGUGUAAACAGGGGCUGGGCUGGGCGCGUUUAUGGCACGCUGGAUUGCAGCAUUAUGGAGAUGGUUUGGGAGCGUUCCCGUAGAAAGCCAGCCCUUUAAGGGAUUGUGAAACUUAGCCAUAAAAUAGGAUAUUUGGGGCUGAUCUG